CCUUCUUAUUUUUCGCUCUCAAAAUGUUCAUGUUUCUUGUCUCCCAUUUCAAGUUAUUCUUCUUCUCCACAAUCAGAACACAACACCAUGUCUCUUCUAAUCAGCACAACAAAUGUGUCAGGCUUCCUCAUUUGCCCCUCAUUGCUUUCAAAUGGCAACGUUGUGGUUAACCCUCCAUCACGGCCAUCGUACGCCUCCUCGGAAUCGCUUGCGCCUCUAUCCCUUUCUCUCUCGCGCUCAACGCAACACCUAAACCCAAGCUGCCAUUUCUGGCGAUCCCACCGUUGUAGACAUCAACGACCACCUAUAGGUGCUCCUCCACUACCAAACCCUCGUGAACCGCCACACGUCAAUCGAUGAGCGUUCCUCCUCCGCAGUAGCCACCGCGAGCACCUCCUUGUUGCGCCUCACCUAGGGUUCUAACUGCAACUUGGUUGAGGGACCCUAAGCGCGCCCCCAACUCAUUCCCGAAGACGCAAAUUGAGAACACUUUUGAUGUUGCUUCCAAGUUCGCUAACGACGUCAUUAAACUUCCUUCAUCACCGGUGGGUCGAUUUACUCAAAUACUCUGUCGGAAUUGGAGCUUUUGCUUUUGGACCACAAUUUGUUGUAGAGGCUCUGGCUCCUGAUAAUCCUCCACUCAAGGGGUUCAAAGAUAUUUUCUACAUUUAUUAGAUUUCUGAAGAGCAAGGAUCCCAAUGACGGAACAGAACAAGCAUUACUAAGUGAACUGAGCUCUUUCAAUGAUUACAUAAAGGGCACUUUCAUAAACUGUAAUGAGAUAUCUGCAGUUGACCCAUCACUUGGACCAAAGUUAUACCAUUUGGAGAUCGCUCUGGGGCAUCAUAAGAAAUGGACAGUACCUGAUCCACUUACCUCUUUGAAGACUUAUACGAAGGUAUGUUCUAGACGAGCCUAUCUACUCAACAUCUCUACUUAAAGACACUUUUCAAGACUAAAAUUGUGUGCUUGCAUGAAGCUACUUACCGAAAGGUUUAUUCCAGAUCAGUAGGUUAAAUGAUUUCAUCUACAAUUAGAAGAAAAAUCACGUGCUUCUUAUAGUUGAAAUAUUUAAAUUCAUUUGUGAGGUUGACAUGUGUGUUAAAACAAGUUCACAUUUUUCAAAUUCUUGCAAAUCACACUUAUGUUAUUGAUUAUUUCACCUUAAUAUUUU